UCCGGAGAAACAGAUUUUCAAAAAGGAACACAAUAAAAUUUACAGCAUCAUAUUCGAUUUUAUUAAUACGACAAGAAAAGAAGAUGAACAUAUUUGCGAUCAGGAAUUCGCAAAUUUACUGGGUUCGUGUCUGACGAACGCGAAAGACUGGGACGGACAAAG